rnacentral:tRNA from 1 species
ACUAAUUUGGCAGAUAAGUGCAUCGGAUUUAGAAUCCUAAAAUAUAAAAGGUUAUUUAUAAUUAGUA